GUCCUUCCAAGGAUCCCGCCAAUAUUUGGUGAUUCUAGAGAAAGCUGUGAAGGGAAGUCUGACUGUUAGUUUAAACCUUUGUGUUGCCACAGUCAUGCCCAGUGCUGAGGAUCAGAGGGGCUUGAUAAAUAUUUGCUGAAGACAGGAAGGAAAGGAAGGAGAAAAUGGGCCAGAUUUAAACAUCUGAAACAUGUCUAGAAUCUAGAAUUAUGUGUCAGGAAGAGACAGAAAAAGCCACAGCUGAGCGCCCAGCUGUGGAAUGGAAGUUGUCAGGAACGAGCUUAUGACUAGGGACCCAUUCACCAGCAGAUGUGGACUGACAGACUCUUCCAUCAUGAAGAAAGUCUGAGAUGCAAAAUGGAAAAUCCAGUUCUUGGAAGCACAAGAGGAAUAAGGAAUACAUCCUGCCUCUGUGGGACUGGAGAAGUAGUUAGGACCUUAAUCACCCAGACCUCAGAAGAUGGAGAGACUGGGGUUCCCAGGACACAGAGGCAUUGAGGUCACCAGGAUGAAUAAUCCAAAAUUCUGUCUAGGAUAUUCCCCUAAUUCAGGUAAUUAUUCAUCAUAAAAUCCAGUGGAAGCUGCAGGAGGGCUUCCAUAUUCUUCAUAGAGAAUGCCGAGGUCUGGCAGAACCAGAAACCCAACAGCUUAUUGCACACCUUCCUAGUGGCUGGUUACCAGCUUACUAAUCCUGUAUAGCUGAGCAGAUAAGGCAAGUUCUUUUUGGUCCGGUAAAAGACCUACUUCUCCCAUUCAGAUUUUAAAGAGAGAAAGCAAAAAGCACCUUGGGCGACCAUCACCUGAAGAAGUAAGAUGGGAGAGUAAUUUUUCUCUAAGCACGGUUCUUUAGGAAAGUGUGAUGGACAGGAGCAAAAUGCUCCUGAAGGGAGAGAGGCAUGCUGUUUCACCUUGACUCCCAAUCAACCCAGUCCCUGGCACACACUCCUGCUCCCAGGGUGGGGUUAUUUGCCCUUCCUCAUUUCUUCUGCAUUUCCCAUUUCAGCAUAUUUAGUACAUUAGUUUUACAAUCACCUGAUUAUUUUAUCUUAUGUCUGAUUAGAUUUGUUCCUUUGUUUGUUUGUUUGUUUUAUGUUUUAUUCUGAGCAACUCAGCAUCAAAAGACCUAGGUUCAGAAUAUAGGCAAUACCAAGAGAAAUUACACAAAUACACCACUUAAACAGCUUUUACUCAUUUCCUUCUUUCAAGAAGCCAAGUAACAAUAGCAAGCAAGGAAGAGGAGACAGUAGUGGGUGGUAGGCACAUACCACGUGUUUGGGGAUUAAUUAAUGUUUCUCACUGCCUUGGCUGCCACUCAUUCUCAGCCAGUAGUUCUAAUGGUCUCUGCUGGCAGAGGUCUUUGCCCUAGUCUUUGCCACUGGUUGGAGUCACCUCACCAUCAGUACGUGGUAGUCAUGACCUCUCAAGCAGUGGCAGGAAUCCACAUUUGUCAUGGCUUGGUGGGUGUUCCCAUGUUCUGACUA
rnacentral:lncRNA from 1 species